rnacentral:rRNA from 1 species
GACUACAUGAAGCCGGAAUCGCUAGUAAUCGCGGAUCAGAAUGCCGCGGUGAAUACGUUCCCGGGUCUUGUACACACCGCCCGUCACACCAUGGGAGUCGGAAAUGCCCGAAGCCGGUGACCCAACCCGAAAGGGAGGGAGCCGUCGAAGGCAGGUCGGAUGACUGGGGUGAAGUCGUAACAAGGUAUC